AAAAACAAUUACACUCAAUCGUAUAAAGUCUUUAAGAAAGACCAAAAAAAAAACCAGGAAAUUGCACUUAACAUUAGCGAUUUCACAAGAGUAUAUAUUGGAGGCUGCAGAAUGACAAAGCAAAAAUAUCCCCUUGAGGUAACUUCUACACUUAACAGAGAAAAAACAAAACAAAACAAAGAGUCCUCUUCUUGUGCAAAUUUGCAGUCAUAUUUCCCUACUGCAUACUUUGUGGUUUUCUCUUAACUUCUUUCCAUUUUGACAUGGUGGGGGAAGCAGGUGCAAUUCAAGCUGUCAGGUUUGAAAUACACAGAGAGGAAAUAGCUGUCUUGUCCCUAUCUGACACCACAGUGCACAUGUAUGUGUGUGCAGACCUCAGGCUUUAAGCUUAUCUUGGAGCUAACGAAUGGAAACACCCUCUGCAAAGAGGCCUUUCAUUUUAGCUUUUAUCUAAUUUUCUGUGUAAAUGUAGCCUACGGGUAUGUAUUGCUGUGUUUAUCAUAUAAAGUCUCCUCCCAUAUUUCUCUCAACACACACCCCACUGGAGAGACAAAUUUGACAAACUUGAACAAAGAACAAAAUAUUGCAUGUUAACAUCAGACGGAGACUGACAUUUCCUUCUUUGUGAAGCAGAAAAGAAAGUCUGAAGACUCCCUGCAGUGAAACAGCACCCUAACCUGGAGAUUCAUCUCCCUGAGUUUUUCCAAGAUUUACACUUAUUAAUUUUUAAUGGUCUGGACUUUGUAAGAAAAAAAUGUGCAAAUGUGUUCUUGAAUAUGAUUGAAUUUGUGUAUAUGUGGAUGUUUUAAUCCAUAGUUACAGUCAUUGACAUUGUUCUUUUAAAGUGAGCCAACUAUUUUUCUCCUCUUGGCGUCAGUGGGAUGAAUGUACACGUAUGCUUUUAUCUCUGAGUGAGUGCAGCGUCCCCAUGCAGCACAGCACACAACAGCAGAGAAACAUGUUUUAAAUAUAUGAAUAUGUAUUAAUCCCACUAAAGUGUCUUAUAAUAGCAAAAGUCUUAUAAUGCCUGUGAAAAUGCUCUAUGAGACAUGAUACACAAUAAUGAGUGUUUUAAUGCAAUCUGCCCUGUGUAGAUGUGAAGUGUUGAGUAGCAGUUUUGUCCACAUGCAAGACAUAAAUUCCUGUCUCUGUCACACAGAAAGUUGGACUAGAUAUUUGAUUUGAAUUUGAAUAUUUUAAGCUCUGGAGACCAAAAUAUUUCCAAAGCAAACACAGUUAUUCUCAUGCUAUCAUUGAAAGUCACAUGUCAGUCUCAUUCUGCCAUUAAGAUUAUUUGCAGUAUGAAUUUAUCAUGGCAUUACUGAAGCCACAAUGACAAAACUCUGACAGGUAGAAAACAACUGAUUUUGAAAUGUUUACCCAAGUCCACUAAAAUCUAACAAUAAAUGUUCAACUGUGGCUGCUGUUGGUUAGCAUAUAAUGUUGAAAACACAUUAACAAGCUCAAAAAUUGACAGAAUGGUAGAGGAGUACACAAAGACUUAACCACAUGCACUUUACUGUGGUAUAAAAACUACUGCAGAUCAAUGCAUUUAAUGCAUUUGGAACCCUCUCUGCUGAUGCGACUCUUACUAUUAGAGGGCUCUGGGCUUACCCUGCUGCUGAUGGAGGAUAUCAUGUGCUUGCACAUGGAGCUUCACAACAUUAGCCCCAGUUUUGUGUCACAAAAAUUAGAGUGCACGCCACCUGCUGGACAUUUGGGAAUCUAUAGUAAAUAUUCUUUGUUUUUAAUGAUUUUUUCCUUCUUCUGUAUACAACCAAGAGUUAAAACACAACCCAUGUUGUGACACAGCUGUCUUGCACUCAGUCUUCACUUACACAAUCGCCUGAAGGGUGUCAGUGUGUCAGCAGCACAUAGAGCUUAUCUGUUGGGUUGUUAUCAGCAAACAAACAGCUCACACACCACACUGUGCAAUGGGAGGAACUUAGAAUAUGUAGUGCGGUGUGAAAACACAAACAAACAGACAGCUUAAUAUUGAGACAGAGGUCUGUGUGCAGUUUAAUAUCUGCCAUUGUUGUUGAGUCUUACCUCCAAUAUCACACAUCACGAGGACAUCAUGAAGUAACGUCCUCGUGAUGUGUAAUUUUCAGUUAGAUGCACAGCAGCUGGCAUAUUUCGUAACACCUGCUUACACUUGAAGUGCGCUGGGUUCAGCUUACAAAAGACUUAUGAGAAAAUCUAAAGCAGCAUUAUUUGCUGUGGUCAGAUAUAUGAGAUACUAGUUUCAACCAAAGAGGUCAGUGUUAUGUAGGUUAUUUUGUCAGCAUGAUGUUACUGGACUACUGGACACUAGAGAGCAGCAAAGCAGCAUAAAACCCAGGCUAGCCCUCUCAAAUGUAUUUUUUCCUUUUAAUUUUGCACAUUUGGUGCAUUUGUACAAUAAAUAUUCCAUAAAUCUUUCCAUUUGUAAGUGCAUGAAUACAAGCAGAAGUCAUCUGCUAAUGCACUUCAUAUAUUUUCACUCUUUUAUGAAUGUAGGCAAUUUUAGAUCUCUGUGAAUUCACUUGCACUACCUCUGCAAGCCAUAAUGACUUAGAAAGCAUCAGCAAAGGGGCAUAGAUGGCCGUUUUGACUUUAUAAUAAAUUAUUACUAUUAUUGCCACAUAAUCCAGUCCAGUCUUUUGGGGCAGAAAAAAAUGAUUAAAGUUAAGACACAAAAAAAGUGUAAACCAUAACUUGAAUCAUUUAUUCCUCAGUUUAUAUGAAUUUGCACCAUGUUGAGAGGUAGACUAAGUUCAUGGGGAACAGGUUCACUGUAUCUUCUUGACAGACAGUUAGACCACAGGCAAGCCUCUCCCAAGCACCAAUUGUUCCUUUACAUUGACAGAGCAGAUGAAUAUUUAACAGGAGGAGGGAAAGUGGUAGGCAUCAGAUCACUAAGAAGAAAAUAGCACUCACCCCAGGUGACCCCACCACCAACAGUCCGAUGACAGACUAGAUUGCUGCUGCUGAUUGGCUGCUUAUAUCAUUGUUGACCCAAAGGAGAGCUGUGUAAUGAGCCUUAAAUGAAAGCAUAUAUGUGGGAAUAGAACAUGUGUCUAUAGGUGGGCUGAGUACCUUCAUGAGAGAAGCAGACAGGGUGGAAAAGACUGCGGUCAGCACCAUGGACAGCAAAAGGAGAAUCAUCCAGGUGAUCAGCGCCAUGCAAGCGGAUAUCAGAAAGCUGGAGCUGGAAAACAUGGGCCUGAAGAGGAAAGCUGGAAGUAAUCUCAGAAAGAAUGCAUCAGUUCCCAUCAUGGCAGCAGAAUGCAGAGAAAGCGUCGUCAUGACAGUGAGACGAUAUUCAGUCUUCCAGCUGCGGGUCAAUCAUCGAUAUUUGACCAUGGGCAUUUCAAAGAGUGAGGGAGGGACCGGAAAGAAGCAACGCUGACCCUGAGCAUAGUCAAACCAGAGGCGGAGCCAGACAUUUUAUACACCCAGGGCUUAGCCCUAAAGGGUAGUAUGCAUGUCGGAUUGGAGGGGGGGUGGGGGGUGGAGUUGCUGUGGAUUUGCUAAACCCCAAAUCAACCAGACCCACAACUGACCCGGAAUUAAAACAGGACUACAACAGUUCAAAAUCAGGACUACUUUAGGACUUAACCAAGAUAGAACCAGAAUCAAAACUAGAUGAUAGUAGCACUGAAAAUCAUCAUAGACCUGCACUACACUGACAACACCUCUUUAUUGUGGUAACAUGAGACUGUAUCUUCGAGACUUGAGUUUUGCGAACCUAUCAAUGACAUUUCCAGGGUCAAUAUUAUUCAAGUAUUCCAAAAAGAUACACUAGGUACUAGAUACAUGUUCUAAUGAGUUUUGGCAAACAACCAUUUGAUUAACAUGUCUGUCUCACCUGGCUCUUGUUCCAUUUCUCUUCUGUCCUUAUUAUCCUCUCUAUCUCCCUCUCUGUUCCUCUCGCUCCCUCUUUGUGCUGAGAAUCAAGCCAAACACCACCAUCAUCAAAUAUACAGUUGA